AUUGCACCAAUUUGUAAGUCGCUCUGGAUAAGAGCGUCUGCUAAAUUACGUAAA
rfam:Salmo salar isolate Sally breed double haploid chromosome ssa25, whole genome shotgun sequence.